rnacentral:rRNA from 1 species
GGACAGAAAGACCCUAUGAAGCUUUACUGUAGCCUGGUAUUGGCUUCGGGCUUUGGCUGCGCAGAAUAGGUGGGAGACGUUGAGACCGUUCUUGUGGGAGCGGUGGAGUCAUCGGUGAGAUACCACUCUGCUAAGGCUAGAAGUCUAACCUGCUGCCGUGAUCCGGCGCGGGAACAGUAUCAGGGGGGCAGUUUGACUGGGGCGGUCGCCUCCCAAAAGGUAACGGAGGCGCGCAAAGGUUCUCUCAGGCUGGUUGGAAAUCAGCCGUUGAGUGUAAAAGCACAAGAGAGCUUGACUGUGAGACGUACAUGUCGAACAGGGACGAAAGUCGGCUUUAGUGAUCCGACGGCGCUGCGUGGAAAGGCCGUCGCUAAACGGAUAAAAGUUACUCUAGGGAUAACAGGCUG